UUUCCUACUUGGUCCUGCUCGCGGCGCCGCGCCUCCGGGUGUUGGGGAGUUAGGGAUGAUGGGGAGUCCGGGGCUCGCCCUAGUCGCGGGGACACCGCCUUCCAGGAGCUGUCCCCAGGCAAACUCACAGACAUCUUCAAAGAGCCUUCUUGGACAUUCUGUUUUUUGCUCCUCAAAACAGGCUUCGGAAAGAGAACAGGCAAACAUCACUGCGAGCGCCUCUAGGGCUCCUUUCCCUGUCCCAGGACCGGGAAUCGGGGAGGGGUCCAAGCAGAGUUCACUUAGUUAACAAAUCAAUGAAAAGUUGGAAAAUCUCAGUUAUAUUUUAAAUGAGAUCGAGGGCGGUGACUCACGCCUGUAAUCCCAGCACUUUGGGAGGCCGAAGCGGAGGUGGAGGGUCGCUUGAGGCCAGGAGUUCGAGACCAGCCUAGGCAACAUGGUGAAGAUGGCCUAUCAAAAUCAUUUUUAUUUUCACUUCUUUAUUUCAGGCUACAGUACAGUGGCAUGAUCUCGGCUCACUGCAACCUCCACCUCCCAGGUUCAGAGUACAAUGGCACGAUCUCGGCUCACUUCAACCUCCGCCUAGCAGUGUGUCCGGAAUCAGUGGGUUCUUGGUCUCACUGACUUCAAGAAUGAAGCCGUGGACCCUCGCGGGUCCCGCUGUGUCACCUGGGCUAGAGUACAGCAGUGCCAUCACGACUCACUGUAACCUCAACAUCCCAGGUCAAGCAAUCCUCCCACUUCAGCCUCUCCAGUAGCUAGAACUACAGGCAUGUGCCACCAUGCUUGGCUAAUUUUUUUGUAUUUUUUGUAGAGAUAGGGUUUAGCCAUGUUGUCCAGGCUGGUCUUGAACUGCUGGGCUCAAGCAA